AAGACCCAAGUUUAAUUUAAUUAGUAAAGUCCAAUUCACAAAGAAAUCAUCUUCCUCGAAAUGUUGAGGUAACAAUCCAUAAAGACAUAAGUAAAUAGAUACCAGAAUAAACCAAGCAUAUCUAAUCUAAUACUAUAUAUAAUAGCAGAAGCCUUUAAGAAGGUGCUGCCACGUUAGGAAAAAUGCCCCCUUAAAAUGCUGCCACGUAUAUAGUUUUCCAUUUAAAAAACCGUACGGUGCGUUUAGAAGACACACUUUCAUCAAACGUGUAUCUAUAAAAACACCAAGCCGCCUAUUAAAAAAUAAAAAUAAAAAAAACGCAAACCCUAAAACGCUCUAACUUCCGUUUCUCCUCUUUCGGAUACUCUCUCCUUUCGCUUCCUUUUGAUUUUCUUAACACCGAUGCUUAUGAUACAAAGAUAGAGAAGGAGGAAAAAAUAAACCUUGCGAUUCAGAGAUGAAAAGAAGACAGACGUUGAGAGAACUAUCACCGGUUUGGAGAGGGCAAAAACAGAGAAAUAAGAGAGAAACAAGAGUUCGUUAUUUGGAAAGAGCAGAAACCUUUAUCGAUACCAUUUGGAGGACAGAAAAACAGCGAGUCGGAGAUUGAAGAAGUUUGAUUUUUUUUUAAUUUGAUUUUGAUUGUCAAUUUGUCAAUUUGAUUUGUUUUUUUUUUUUUCAAUUAGUUUGUUCUGGGAAUAGGAACAAUUAAAUAGGAAUGUUGAUUGAAAUCACUAGCAGACAACUAACUUGUGGAGAAUGACUUAAUUUUGGUUGAUUAGUAGUUUGGAUUUGUUUUGAUUAACGUUUUUGGAAUCCAUUUAUAUAUAUAUAUAUAUAUAUAUGGGCAUGUUGUUCCUUUGGGAAGGUUACCGUGUAAAUUUUAAGGAUUUCUCUGUUUUUCGGCAUUGGUAAAGAUUACUGAUAUAGACGCUUUUAUGCUAU